rfam:Oribacterium sp. oral taxon 078 str. F0262 genomic scaffold Scfld7, whole genome shotgun sequence.
GGCCCGGUGGCUCAGAUGGUUAGAGCGCCGCCCUGUCACGGCGGAGGUCGUCGGUUCGAUUCCGAUCCGGGUCG